rnacentral:rRNA from 1 species
UGCUCACGUUUUUAACAUCAAACACCCUAGUGUAGAAUGUUCUUUGCGCGAUCACGCGCGAAUCAAUACAACUUUCAACAACGGAUCUCUUGGCUCUCGCAUCGAUGAAGAACGCAGCGAAAUGCGAUACGUAAUGUGAAUUGCAGAAUUCAGUGAAUCAUCGAAUCUUUGAACGCACCUUGCGCCCCUUGGCAUUCCGAGGGGCACACCCGUUUGAGUGUCGUGAACAUCCUCAACCUGCUUCGUUCUAUCGAACCAAGUAGGCUUGGAAUUUGGAGGUUUUUCUGCUGGCUUCCUCUGUGAAGCCAGCUCCUCUUAAAUCUAUCAGUGGGAUCCGCUUUGCUAGAUCCUCGACGUUGAUAAGAUGUUUCUAUGUCUUGGGUUUCGCUCGGGAAAGGACCUGCUUCUAACCGUCCCCCCCAUCGGGGACAAUGUUCGAGAGCCGAUCGCCCUUCACGGGGUGGGAAGCUUUUCGACCCAUGAAACCUUGACCUCAAAUCGGGUGAGACUACCCGCUGAACUUAAGCAUAUCAAUAAGCGGAGGA